GCCUGCGUGGCUCAAUCGGUAGAGCGUCAGACUCUUAUUAGGCACCUUGACGAUAUGUCUUGAUGCGUGGGGAAUCUGAAUGUUGCGAGUUCGAGCCUCGCCGUGGGCU